AUUGAACGCUGGCGGCAUGCUUUACACAUGCAAGUCGAACGGUAACAGGCCGCAAGGUGCUGACGAGUGGCGAACGGGUGAGUAAUGCAUCGGAACGUGCCCGGUCGUGGGGGAUAACACUUCGAAAGAAGUGCUAAUACCGCAUACGAUCUGAGGAUGAAAGCGGGGGACCGUAAGGCCUCGCGCGAUCGGAGCGGCCGAUGUCAGAUUAGGUAGUUGGUGGGGUAAAGGCUCACCAAGCCAACGAUCUGUGGCUGGUCUGAGAGGACGACCAGCCACCCUGGGACUGAGGAACGGCCCAGACUCCUACGGGAGGCAGCAGUGGGGAAUUUUGGACAAUGGGCGCAAGCCUGAUCCAGCAAUGCCGCGUGCAGGAAGAAGGCCUUCGGGUUGUAAACUGCUUUUGUACGGAACGAAACGGUCCGGGUUAAUACCCUGGGCUAAUGACGGUACCGUAAGAAUAAGCACCGGCUAACUACGUGCCAGCAGCCGCCGUAAGAC
rnacentral:rRNA from 1 species